AUAAAUUCUUUUUUAUUAUGAUGUCUCCUUUUUUUGUACCUGCUAAGAAGUAUUGUUCCAUCAUAUUGUUAUUUUUUAUACAGAAGUACAUUAUGACUAAGAAUAAAGUUUAUUGCAGAUUCCAAAGAUAUGGAGUGUUAUUGUUCUGCUUAAUGAUUCAGUCAUACAUAUACAUAUAAAUUAAGUAUUUUCACAUGUAUAGAGCCAAUACAAAACAGUGAUCUCUUAUUUUUCUGGUUAUAAAUUGAGACUUGAGGAAAUGAGAUUUGAUAUACAACAAAAUGAUUGAUUGUUUAUGAUUCUCUGCCUUAUUAUGUUGUGCAACAUCAUUUAAGGUCUUUCAACCACUACUGUAAUAGUAAAUACAUAAACUGUGUUUAUUCUUCAAUUAGUUUUCCAAAUAAAGUAAAAUUGAAUUAAACAUUAGUAAACUUCUAUUCUUCUCUAUCAUUUUAAAAUUUUAUCACUAACUCUAAAAGCGG